rnacentral:rRNA from 1 species
UACGUAGGGUGCGAGCGUUGUCCGGAAUUAUUGGGCGUAAAGAGCUCGUAGGCGGUGUGUCACGUCGUUCGUGAAAACCUGCAGCUUAACUGUGGGCGUGCGGUCGAUACGGGCAUCACUGGAGUUCGGCAGGGGAGACUGGAAUUCCUGGUGUAGCGGUGAAAUGCGCAGAUAUCAGGAGGAACACCGGUGGCGAAGGCGGGUCUCUGGGCCGAUACUGACGCUGAGACGCGAAAGCGUGGGGAGCGAACAGG